rfam:Aedes albopictus isolate Foshan contig102918, whole genome shotgun sequence.
UGCUCUCUGGCUUAGUUGGUUAAAGCACCGGACAAGCGAUACGAAGUCGUGGGUUCGAAUCCCACCAAGACAA